UCCCUCUGAAAUUCUAACGUUGUCACUGUCCUAUCGAAGUUCACUUUGUCAUAAUCGCUGCAUAAGCACUCGGAACUACUCAACGAAUAUCUAUAAAAGAGCCCAAACCAGCAGUUAUGGAUGAAAACUCCCGAAACACACCUCUCUCUCUCUGCUUCAAUUCACAUGUUCCUUUUGGGCCAGACCGAGGUGCAAUGACCAUCGGCGCGACGAAUAUCUUGCUGGAAGAACCGUGAAGUUCUUUAUGCUUCGCUAUUCUGGUGGGCGGUGAACCAUUUUUGUCAGAUUCCAGUUCAAUGACAGCAUCAUGAUUAGGAAAAACAGUACAAUGAUUGAUGGGAUUGCCUCAGGACUACUUGGUCCUGAGGUUGAUGAGGUAGCUAGAGCACAGGCCAAGAAAGGCGCACUUCUUGGGUACUAAGCUUGUAAAUUUGCUAUGAGUUAUGGUUUUCAUUUUCUUUGGGCUGAUUCGAGAUGGGUAUUGAGUUAGAUCAUCCAUGAAGCAUCGCUCUCUGGAAUUCAAUCCUGUAUUGGGUAUUUUAGAGCAGGACGUAUUGAUGAAGUUCCAGAGUGGCACUCGGAUCCGAGACGCGGGAGAAUUGGCUUGAACUCCUCGGUCAUCACUUUUAGUCUGAAGAGUUGCGUGGAGUUGAACCAUUCAGAAUUAGGGGGAGGAGUUCGGUGGAUGCUUUCAGGUUUGGUCUCGUUGCAGUUGUAUUAGGGGGGUUCAGCUCUUACAAAUUUGUACUCAACACGGGGGACAUUGAGCAUGCAUCCAAGUUGUUUGACUAAAUGACUGUUAGAGAUGUUGCAAAUACCUCGAUUGUUACGGGGCUUACUAUUAUAUUUUCUGGCAGAAGGUCUCACAAAAUCUUACAGGAAGAAUGAGACAAAACCAAAUCUGAGUCGCUCAAGUGAGUUUAUUGCAAGCAACAGCAGAGUUGGGAGUACCCGGGAUUGGUGCCUCCGUUCAUGAUCUUGCAUUUAAAAGAGGAAUCUGUUGUUCUGAUGAAGUGCUGAGACAUGCCUGAUGAACAUGUAUUUCAAAUGUGGGGUGCACAGAUUGGCGGCCUCCCUUUUGGCAGAAAUGGAUACUAGAGGUAAUUUUCACCUAAUUGCUUACUGCUUGCAGCGUGCAGCCACUCGGGCUUGGUAAAAGUGGGUCUACCCAAUUUCAGGUCUAUGUUUAAAGAAUAUUCAGAUGUGCUGGCCAAAGACUGUUACAGUUGUGUGAUAAAUUUAUUAAGUCGAGCAAGACAUCUUGAAGACUCAUAUGAUCUCAUUAAAUUCCCUCAAUCGAGACAAUACCCUUUAGCAUUGGGAUCCCUUGUAGGCUAAUAGAUUGUAUGGAGAUCGAGAGAGGGAAGAGGUUAUUAGGAAGGCACCUCCUUGAUUUAUGACCAAAUAAUUCUUGAACUUACUUGAUGAUGUCUUAUUCGUUCAUGGUGAAAAAUGGAAUGAUGUAGACAAAAUGUGUAUGAUCAAGAGAGGGGAGAGGUUAUUAGGAAGGCACCUCCUUGAUUUAUGAUCAAAUAAUUCUAGAACUUACUUGAUGAUGCCUUAUUUGUGGAUGGUGAAUAUUGGGAUGAUGUAGUCAGAAUCAGAUCCUUAGCUGUGGAGGCCCGUCUCAAGAGGACUCCAGGUUGUAGUUUGAUUUAGGUAGAGAAAAAAGUGGCUCCUAAAUAUGCCUAUCAUGUGGUAUAGUGAUAUGGUUUCAGGCAUAUACUCAAGUUUCAUUAAUUUUAAUACAUCUUUAUGAUCAUGACAACUGUGGACAUUUGAUUUAAUGGGUGGCAAUGGAGUUUCUGCUACCACCACGAAGUUGCACAUCUCUUAACUGCUGGUGCCACGUUUUGUGAGCUCUCUCUCGCUCUCUCUUUCCGUCUCUCUGUCUCUCUCUCUCUCUCUCUCUCUCUAAUCUGAUGCUUCUCGAAUUCUUUCCUAUUUUGCUGAAUAACCUAUGUUGUCUUCUCACUCUUUGUGCUCAAAUCUGUCUCGUAGCAGCUCAAUUCAUUAGUGGAGCUCUGAACAGAUGGAAGCUUCUGAAUCUCUCUGCAAAUCCAUAUCAGAAAUAAAGACUGCAUACAUAAUUAUGUGGCUACACGUAUUGGGAAGAAAAGUUGUGAGACAGAAACACUAGCUGAAACAGUAUGAUUACAUGAUCCACUCUAACGCAGCAACUGAUAAUGAGUGUCAUGAGGAUGAUGUGUCUAAGACUGAUGCACCAGGGAAUACUUAAAUUUCUCUUGGGUCCAAUUAAGCUAUUAGCUAUUGAAUUUUCUUAAAAAGGGCACUUGUUAAACACCUCGAUAAAGGAAGUUUAUCAUUCUUAAUGCAUUGUCUUUCUCGUAUUAUGUGUAAUCAAAUGCAUUGAAAUUGAAAACAUGUCCUUGUUAACUACAACAACACCUUAAACUAUUGGCCGUAGCUUGUUUCUUUCUUACUUCAUAUGAUUCAUCCAUAAGAGUGCUUACAAACACUGAAAAGGACUUUUUAAUUAAAACCCAAAUUCUCUCUUUGCAUCACAUUACAUUUAUCAUAUAUUGAAGGCAGUAGCAAACAUGAUACAAAUCUAAGAAUGACAAAAACAUCACGAUCCUAGGCACAGAUAAUGAGAUCGUGCUUCAUUGGUUUUUGAUUCUUUUUUAUCUCAAGACACAAUUGUUGAUUGAUUUGCGAAUUUGCUUUCCUUAUUGAUCUUUAAUUCACCAAUGGCAUUUUUUUUCAAUCACUUGACCAUCCAUUACAUACUGUAGAUUUUGAGCCAACACUCUUUAGUUCAUAGGCUUGUUCAAUGCGACAAUUUCUUCAGAUAACAAAUGUACCUUCCGUUAGAAUGGAGUAAUUAACGAUUUAACUACUUCUCUGGUCGCCUUAUCGGAGCUCCUACCUCUCCCAACAGCCUU